rnacentral:rRNA from 1 species
UAUCAGGUUGAUAGGUCUGAGGUGGAAGUGUGGCGACACAUGGAGCUGACAGAUACUAAUCGAUCGAGGACUUAACCCAUAUU